CUGAACCUUCGGGGAACGUUAAGGGCGGCGAGCGGCGGACGGGUGAGUAAUGCCUGGGAAUAUGCCCUGAUGUGGGGGAUAACUAUUGGAAACCAUAGCUAAUACCGCAUAAUCUCUUCGGAGCAAAGAGGGGGACCUUCGGGCCUCUCGCGUCAGGAUUAGCCCAGGUGGGAUUAGCUUGUUGGUGAGGUAAUGGCUCACCAAGGCAACGAUCCCUAGCUGGUCUGAGAGGAUGAUCAGCCACACUGGAACUGAGACACGGUCCAGACUCCUACGGGAGGCAGCAGUGGGGAAUAUUGCACAAUGGGGGAAACCCUGAUGCAGCCAUGCCGCGUGUGUGAAGAAGGCCUUCGGGUUGUAAAGCACUUUCAGUAGGGAGGAAGGUAGUGUAGUUAACACCUGCACUAUUUGACGUUACCUACAGAAGAAGCACCGGCUAACUCCGUGCCAGCAGCCGCGGUAAUACGGAGGGUGCGAGCGUUAAUCGGAAUUACUGGGCGUAAAGCGCAUGCAGGCGGCCUGUUAAGUCAGAUGUGAAAGCCCGGGGCUUAACCUCGGAAUUGCAUUUGAAACUGGCAGGCUAGAGUCUUGUAGAGGGGGGUAGAAUUUCAGGUGUAGCGGUGAAAUGCGUAGAGAUCUGAAGGAAUACCAGUG
rnacentral:rRNA from 1 species